UGAGAAGAGAUAAAAGGGAGAUUGUAAAAGAUUUCAUCAUGGAUGCCUCAAUUGAGGAGAAAGGUUAAGUAGCAAGGUUCACAGCAAAGGCUAAUAGAGACUCCAUGGAAAAGCUAUAAUAAAUGAUCCAUUAAUUUGGGCCUGCGAGGAAAGUCAAUUGCAAGGAAGACUGAGGAAAGUUUCAUUUAGGAGAGAUAUUGGGUUUUGUGUUUAUGCCCACAGCUAGUCUUACAUCUUGGUGUUCAUUA
rnacentral:lncRNA from 1 species